GUGGGGAAUUUUGGACAAUGGGGGCAACCCUGAUCCAGCCAUGCCGCGUGUGUGAAGAAGGCCUUCGGGUUGUAAAGCACUUUCGGACGGAACGAAAUCGCACGGGUGAAUAUCCCGUGUGGAUGACGGUACUGUAAGAAGAAGCACCGGCUAACUACGUGCCAGCAGCCGCGGUAAUACGUAGGGUGCGAGCGUUAAUCGGAAUUACUGGGCGUAAAGCGUGCGCAGGCGGCUUCGCAAGUCAGACGUGAAAUCCCCGGGCUUAACCUGGGAAUGGCGUUUGAAACUACGGAGCUGGAGUGUGGCAGAGGGAGGUAGAAUUCCACGUGUAGCGGUGAAAUGCGUAGAUAUGUGGAGGAAUACCGAUGGCGAAGGCAGCCUCCUGGGCCAACACUGACGCUCAUGCACGAAAGCGUGGGGAGCAAACAGGAUUAGAUACCCUUGUAGUCC
rnacentral:rRNA from 1 species